AUUGAACGCUGGCGGCAGGCCUAACACAUGCAAGUCGAACGGUAACAGGAGACAGCUUGCUGUUUCGCUGACGAGUGGCGGACGGGUGAGUAAUGUCUGGGAAACUGCCUGAUGGAGGGGGAUAACUACUGGAAACGGUAGCUAAUACCGCAUAACGUCGCAAGACCAAAGAGGGGGACCUUCGGGCCUCUUGCCAUCGGAUGUGCCAAGAUGGGAUUAGCUAGUAGGUGGGGUAACGGCUCACCUAGGCGACGAUCCCUAGCUGGUCUGAGAGGAUGACCAGCCACACUGGAACUGAGACACGGUCCAGACUCCUACGGGAGGCAGCAGUGGGGAAUAUUGCACAAUGGGCGCAAGCCUGAUGCAGCCAUGCCGCGUGUAUGAAGAAGGCCUUCGGGUUGUAAAGUACUUUCAGCGGGGAGGAAGGGAGUAAAGUUAAUACCUUUGCUCAUUGACGUUACCCGCAGAAGAAGCACCGGCUAACUCCGUG
rnacentral:rRNA from 1 species